AACGAACGCUGGCGGCAUGCCUAACACAUGCAAGUCGAACGAACCCUUCGGGGUGAGUGGCGCACGGGUGCGUAACGCGUGGGAAUCUGCCCUUAGGUACGGAAUAACUCAGAGAAAUUUGUGCUAAUACCGUAUGAUGUCGAAAGACCAAAGAUUUAUCGCCUAAGGAUGAGCCCGCGUAAGAUUAGCUUGUUGGUGAGGUAAAAGCUCACCAAGGCGACGAUCUUUAGCUGGUCUGAGAGGAUGAUCAGCCACACUGGGACUGAGACACGGCCCAGACUCCUACGGGAGGCAGCAGUGGGGAAUAUUGGACAAUGGGCGAAAGCCUGAUCCAGCAAUGCCGCGUGAGUGAUGAAGGCCUUAGGGUUGUAAAGCUCUUUUACCAGGGAUGAUAAUGACAGUACCUGGAGAAUAAGCUCCGGCUAACUCCGUGCCAGCAGCCGCCGUAA
rnacentral:rRNA from 1 species